rnacentral:rRNA from 1 species
GGGCCCGCACAAGCGGUGGAGUAUGUGGUUUAAUUCGAUGCAACGCGAAGAACCUUACCUGGUCUUGACAUCCCGAGAAUCCUCCUGAAAGGGAGGAGUGCUCUUCGGAGAGCUCGGAGACAGGUGCUGCAUGGCUGUCGUCAGCUCGUGUCGUGAGAUGUUGGGUUAAGUCCCGCAACGAGCGCAACCCUUGCCUUUAGUUGCCAGCAGUUCGGCUGGGCACUCUAAAGGGACUGCCGGUGUCAAACCGGAGGAAGGUGGGGAUGACGUCAAGUCCUCAUGGCCCUUACGACCAGGGCUACACACGUACUACAAUGGCCGAUACAAAGGGCAGCGACAUUGCGAAAUGAAGCCAAUCCCAUAAAGUCGGUCUCAGUCCGGAUUGGAGUCUGCAACUCGACUCCAUGAAGUUGGAAUCGCUAGUAAUCGUGGAUCAAGCAUGCCA